UUAUAUAUACUCUUUAUUUUAUACUUUUGGCAAAAAAUAUGAGUAAGUAGCCAUUUUUGCAAAAAAUGAGCGGAUUACAAAUAUUUUUGCAAGGAUUGCGAGAAGCGAAGCUGUAGCAAUCCUGUAUCA
rnacentral:sRNA from 1 species